rnacentral:rRNA from 1 species
UACGUAGGGGGCAAGCGUUAUCCGGAUUUACUGGGUGUAAAGGGAGCGUAGACGGCGCUGCAAGUCCGGAGUGAAAGCCCAUGGCUUAACCAUGGUACUGCUCUGGAAACUGUGGAGCUUGAGUGCGGGAGGGGCAGGCGGAAUUCCUAGUGUAGCAGUGAAAUGCGUAGAUAUCGAGAGGAACACUCGUGGCGAAGGCGGGUUCCUGGACAUUAACUGACGCUGAGGCACGAAGGCCAGGGGAGCGAAAGGG